CAAACUUGAACAUAAAAUAAAUAUGUAUAAAGAAAUGAACAGUAAAAAACAUGUACAUAAAAUUGCCGCGAAAAAUGCUUUUAAUCAAUUUCAAUUGAAUGAUGACCCAGUACAAACAUCAACGAGACGAGUGUUUACGCGUACAUGCGAUUGUACGUCGCUGGCGAUGGAACUUUACAUGUGGCUAGGAAAAUAUGUAACGAGGCAACAGCUACAAAAUUGUAGAAAUUGAGUUGUAUUACUUUGAGUUGUUCAUGUGCGCUGUCGUCUAACUGAUACGUGUAACGGAUGCCUUUUAGAGGUAUGGAGCUUUAUUUGGAAUAUACAAGAAAUAAAUCAAAUGCUCAGAA